rnacentral:rRNA from 1 species
UACAGAGGGUGCGAGCGUUGUCCGGAAUCACUGGGCGUAAAGGGCGCGUAGGUGGCGACCCAAGUCGAUGGUGAAAGCUCGCCGCUCAACGGCGAGUCGGCCACCGAUACUGGGUUGCUGGAGCACUGUAGAGGCAGAUGGAAUUCCGGGUGUAGCGGUGGAAUGCGUAGAGAUCCGGAGGAACACCGAUGGCGAAGGCAGGUCUCUGGGCCAUUACUGACACUGAGAAGCGAAAGCAUGGGGAGCGAACAGG